CCGUACUAGGUGGGGAGGUAGCGGUGCCCUGUAACUUGCAAUCCGCUGUAGCAAGGCUGAAUUCCCAUCCGAGGUGGGCAGUUUUACGGCUGCCUUAAGGGAGUAGUGUUGACGUCUAGAUCCUGCGCAACAAGAACCCAUGAACCCUGUCAGGUCCGGAAGGAAGCAGCAGUAAGUGGUCAUUCUUGUGUGCCGCAGGGCCACCUAGACCGAGCUAUGAACUUAAGUAACGCGUAGGACUGCUUCAUCGAAGAUGGGUGUACGG
rnacentral:SRP_RNA from 1 species